AUGGCGUAUGCAAGUGAUGAGAGUAUGUUCGAGUAUGUAAAUGUUGUCAGCAAGAUGUUUGAUAGUGAGGCUGAAGGCUAUGAAUUCUACAACAAAUAUGCUCUUGAAAAAGGUUUUAGUGUGAGGAAAAGCUACGUUGAGUGGGAUGGAUCCAACAAAUACAUAAUUUCAAGGAAAAUUGUGUGUAGUCGUCAAGGGUUUCGCGAAGAGAAGCACAUGAAAAGAAAGAUGGAAGAUAGAAAGAGGAGGCCACAAAGUUUAACUCGUGUUGGGUGUAAUGCUAAAUUGGUCAUUACGAGACAGGAGGAAGCCGGUCGGUGGUUUGUCAAGUAUUUCAUUGAUGAGCACAACCAUCCUCUAGCCCCACGGGAUCUUUCUUGUCUACUGCAUUCGCACAGACGAAUUAGCGAUGAGCAGAAAGCGGACAUUGCGGACAUGGAAAAUGUGGGAUCCGCAAAUACCGUAUUAUGGAUAUUUUGUGCUUUCAGUACGGUGGAUUUGAUAAGGUUGGAUGCAUAA
rnacentral:rRNA from 1 species